rnacentral:rRNA from 1 species
GACGAACGCUGGCGGCGUGCCUAAUACAUGCCAGUUGAGCGCUGAAGGUUGGUACUUGUACCAACUGGAUGAGCAACGAACGGGUGAGUAACGCGUGGGGAAUCUGCCUUUGAGCGGGGGACAACAUUUGGAAACGAAUGCUAAUACCGCAUAAAAACUUUAAACACAAGUUUUAAGUUUGAAAGAUGCAAUUGCAUCACUCAAAGAUGAUCCCGCGUUGUAUUAGCUAGUUGGUGAGGUAAAGGCUCACCAAGGCGAUGAUACAUAGCCGACCUGAGAGGGUGAUCGGCCACAUUGGGACUGAGACACGGCCCAAACUCCUACGGGAGGCAGCAGUAGGGAAUCUUCGGCAAUGGACGAAAGUCUGACCGAGCAACGCCGCGUGAGUGAAGAAGGUUUUCGGAUCGUAAAACUCUGUUGGUAGAGAAGAACGUUGGUGAGAGUGGAAAGCUCAUCAAGUGACGGUAACUACCCAGAAAGGGACGGCUAACUACGUG